rnacentral:rRNA from 1 species
GACGAACGCUGGCGGCGCGCCUAACACAUGCAAGUCGAACGGAGUCAAGAGGAGCUUGCUUUUCUUGACUUAGUGGCGAACGGGUGAGUAACGCGUGAGUAACCUGCCCUGGAGUGGGGGACAACAGUUGGAAACGACUGCUAAUACCGCAUAAGCCCACGGAUCUGCAUGGAUCUGCGGGAAAAGGAUUUAUUCGCUCUAGGAUGGACUCGCGUCCAAUUAGCUAGUUGGUGAGGUAACUGCCCACCAAGGCGACGAUUGGUAGCCGGACUGAGAGGUUGAACGGCCACAUUGGGACUGAGACACGGCCCAGACUCCUACGGGAGGCAGCAGUGGGGGAUAUUGCAAAAUGGGGGAAACCCUGAUGCAGCGACGCCGCGUGGAGGAAGAAGGUUUUCGGAUUGUAAACUCCUGUCGUUAGGGACGAUAAUGACGGUACCUAACAAGAAAGCACCAGCUAACUACGUG